AAUCAACGCUGGCGGCGUGCCUAACACAUGCAAGUCGAACGCGAAAGUCCCGCAAGGGAUUAGUAGAGUGGCAAACGGGUGAGUAACACGUGGGUGACCUGCCUUCGAGUGGGGGAGUAACGUCCCGAAAGGGACGCUAAUACCGCAUAACAUCCUGCCUUUGUAAGAGGUGGGAGAUCAAAGCUGGGGACCGGCAAGGCCUGGCGCUGGAAGAGGGGCCCGGCGUCUGAUUAGCUAGUU
rnacentral:rRNA from 1 species